AUUUGUGUAAUUUGAGAACCAAUGUAAAUGCAGAAUGUUCAUAUGCGAAAGUAGUUGCUUCUGGUAUUUUUACGUGUACACUUGGAAGAGCCAUUUUCUGACAGCAUACAAUCAGCCGUUCGGUCAUUCUUAACAUUGGACAGCUUGAAAAAGUAUCAUCAAUGGCUGUGUUAAGAAUACCUUCUUUUGUUACAAUCAUCAUUGUCCUGCUUUUUGGUUCGGACAUAAUCGUAGAUUGUUAUGAAAAUCCAUGGCCUGAAACUUUUAUGGAUUUUGGAAUGGAUGAUCCCCGACCUUUUACAUCGAGCUGGCCCUAUAACGUACAAAAUAGUUAUAGAGGUUAUGGUGACUAUGUUAGACAAAUGCUAAAUAACAAACUCAAAGAUAUGAUGAAAUUUUCAAGGGACUUUGUUCACCAGGGGAAUUACUAUGGAAAUAAUUUCGAGCAGGACCCAGACACUAAGAUGUUACUGCAGCAAGCACGAGUAGCUUUCGCAAACAGUAAUUCAGGGGGCCGUUAUUUAGGAAAAUUGGUUCGGACUGCAUCCUGUGGCAAACAUUGUAUCAUCAAAGUUGUAAUCGGAAAAAUUAAUGGAAAUUAUUAUGAAAAUGUCUCGAAAAGUAAUCAUUAGACGGAAUCUGAAUCAUGGAAGGUUAAAGGUAUGCUAUGUAUCCAUUUUUAACCGGUAAUGAAGGCGCUGGCAACUUAAAACAGCUACAAAGCAAGAAUUGUAAAGCAAUAUAAAAAUAAAGCAUAUUUGUUUGUAAAUGGA